rnacentral:rRNA from 1 species
UACGUAGGGGGCAAGCGUUGUCCGGAUUUAUUGGGCGUAAAGAGCGUGUAGGCGGCCAUACAGGUCCGUUGUGAAAACUGGAGGCUUAACCUCCAGACGUCGAUGGAAACCGUAUGGCUAGAGUCCGGAAGAGGAGAGUGGAAUUCCUGGUGUAGCGGUGAAAUGCGCAGAUAUCAGGAGGAACACCAAUAGCGAAGGCAGCUCGCUGGGACGGUACUGACGCUGAGGCGCGAAAGCGUGGGGAGCGAACAGG